rfam:Gossypium arboreum cultivar AKA8401 contig_103793_1, whole genome shotgun sequence.
AGUCUAUGCUAUUGGCACCUCCUUAGCAUCAUCUUGAAGCAUUCUCAUUCUUCGUAUAGGGAUUCACCUUCAUAUUGUUUAAAAUAGGCGAUUUCUUGCUUGAGCU